rnacentral:lncRNA from 1 species
UCAAGAUAAAAAAUAACCAGGAAGAAGGGCAGGAGGAAUUUGCCUUAGAAAGGAUGCAGUGUUCACCUCUUUGGUACAGCUACAGAGAAGAUAGAUAGUAAGAUUCUCCCAUGCUGGGUUUUACCAGGAUGAUUUUGUCCCAAAGAUGGAAACACUCAAUUUAUAAAUACUCAGUUUCCAAUGGUUGCAACUUUCUACCUUGAUCUCCAGUAUAGUACAGACAUCCUGCCGCAUGCUUGAUUUGGGCUCCUUCUCUCCUUGGCAUCACUUGGAUGGGCACUGGCCCUAAAGUGUCCCUGUAUGCUCCUUUCUCUGUUUCCAUGGCUACCCAAACCUCUCA